rnacentral:rRNA from 1 species
CCCUAUUAUGAAGUUUUUGUGGUUAGUAUAGAUUGAAAUUUAAGAAUUUUGGCGGUUAAUUAUUUGAUUAGAGGAGCUUGUUGAAUAGAAUUUGCUCUUUAUAUUUUAUUUAUUUUUGUUUAUUUAUUUCCGUUAGUAGGUUUUAGACUGUUUUAAGUUUAUUUUAUAUUUCAGGUCAAGAUGUAGCAAAAAUUUGUUUUAAAUUAGCUACAGUUAUUUUGGUAUAUUGGAUAUAGGAAUGUAAAGUUAUAUUAAAAGUGAAUUUAAUUGUAAUAGUAAUUAAAAAAUUACUAUGAAUUGGGUUGGUUAGUGUA